AGAGUUUGAUCCUGGCUCAGAUUGAACGCUGGCGGCAGGCCUAACACAUGCAAGUCGAACGGUAACAGGAAGAAGCUUGCUUCUUUGCUGACGAGUGGCGGACGGGUGAGUAAUGUCUGGGAAACUGCCUGAUGGAGGGGGAUAACUACUGGAAACGGUAGCUAAUACCGCAUAACGUCGCAAAACCAAAGAGGGGGACCUCCGGGCCUCUUGCCAUCGGAUGUGCCCAGAUGGGAUUAGCUAGUAGGUGGGGUAACGGCUCACCUAGGCGACGAUCCCUAGCUGGUCUGAGAGGAUGACCAGCCACACUGGAACUGAGACACGGUCCAGACUCCUACGGGAGGCAGCAGUGGGGAAUAUUGCACAAUGGGCGCAAGCCUGAUGCAGCCAUGCCGCGUGUAUGAAGAAGGCCUUCGGGUUGUAAAGUACUUUCAGCGGGGAGGAAGGGAGUAAAGUUAAUACCUUUGCUCAUUGACGUUACCCGCAGAAGAAGCACCGGCUAACUCCGUGCCAGCAGCCGCGGUAAUACGGAGGGUGCAAGCGUUAAUCGGAAUUACUGGGCGUAAAGCGCACGCAGGCGGUUUGUUAAGUCAGAUGUGAAAUCCCCGGGCUCAACCUGGGAACUGCAUCUGAUACUGGCAAGCUUGAGUCUCGUAGAGGGGGGUAGAAUUCCAGGUGUAGCGGUGAAAUGCGUAGAGAUCUGGAGGAAUACCGGUGGCGAAGGCGGCCCCCUGGACGAAGACUGACGCUCAGGUGCGAAAGCGUGGGGAGCAAACGGGAUUAGAUACCCUGGUAGUCCACGCCGUAAACGAUGUCGACUUGGAGGUUGUGCCCUUGAGGCGUGGCUUCCGGAGCUAACGCGUUAAGUCGACCGCCUGGGGAGUACGGCCGCAAGGUUAAAACUCAAAUGAAUUGACGGGGGCCCGCACAAGCGGUGGAGCAUGUGGUUUAAUUCGAUGCAACGCGAAGAACCUUACCUGGUCUUGACAUCCACGGAAGUUUUCAGAGAUGAGAAUGUGCCUUCGGGAACCGUGAGACAGGUGCUGCAUGGCUGUCGUCAGCUCGUGUUGUGAAAUGUUGGGUUAAGUCCCGCAACGAGCGCAACCC
rnacentral:rRNA from 1 species